rnacentral:rRNA from 1 species
UACAGAGGGGGCAAGCGUUGUUCGGAAUUACUGGGCGUAAAGGGUGCGUAGGCGGCGGGGCAAGUCAGGUGUGAAAUCUCGGGGCUCAACCCCGAAACUGCACUUGAUACUGCCUUGCUCGAGUACUGGAGAGGAGACUGGAAUUUACGGUGUAGCAGUGAAAUGCGUAGAUAUCGUAAGGAAGACCAGUGGCGAAGGCGAGUCUCUGGACAGUUACUGACGCUGAGGCACGAAGGCCAGGGGAGCAAACGGG